rnacentral:misc_RNA from 1 species
GUAGGUGAACCUGCGGAAGGAUCAUUAUUGAAUAAACUUGGUUGGGUUGCUGCUGGCUCUCCGGAGCAUGUGCACACUCACUCCAUUUUUAACCACCUGUGCACAUACUGUAGGCCUGAAUGAACUUUGUCGAGGAAACUCGGUUUGAGAACUGCUCAGCUGUUCUUGUAUUUCAGGUCUAUGUUUUUAAACAUAUACUCCAUAACAAGUUAUAGAAUGUUAAUUAUGGGCCUUCUGUGCCUUUAAAACCUAAUACAACUUUCAACAACGGAUCUCUUGGCUCUC